rnacentral:lncRNA from 1 species
UUAUGUGAUGAAACUAGAACCCUCUAAACAAACAAUUGCCUACAAAAAACAAAUAAAAGGUUUAUGUAUAUAUCUGUUAGGAAAAAGGAAAAAGGGUAUCUUGUUUGAGAACAAAACAGUCUAUUUCAUUAUUUUUAUUUGUAAAAUAAUCAAAUAUUUAAUUUUAUUUUUUAGACCUUAUUGCAAUAUGCAAGCAACAAGAAUGCAUCAGAACAUAUUGUGUAUCUUCUGGAGGUGUAUCAACUUGCCAUCCAAAGCUUUGCCAGUGCACGUCCAUUUUUAACUACUGAAUGUGAAGAUGUCCUCCUAGUACUUGGCGGAUUAGUAUUGAGUCGUUUUGAAUUAUUGCUUUCAGUCCCUGAAAGUGAACUGCCAUGUGAUAUCUGGGUACCAUUCCUUCAGACUCUACAGGAGUCACAUGCAGCACUGUUGGAAUUUGGGAAUAAUAACCUACAAAUACUGGUUCAUGUUACCAAGGAAGGGGUGUGGAAAAACCCGGUACUUCUUAAAAUAUUGUCUCAACAGCCAGUAGAAAUGGAGGAAGUCAAUAAAUUGAUUGCACAAGAAGGACCUUCCUUUCUACAGAUGCGAAUGAAACAUUUGUUGAAAGCUAACUGCAUCCCCCAGGCUACUGCCUUAUCAAAACUCUGUGCAGAAUCUAAAGAAAUUUCACAUGUGUCAUCUUUUCAGCAAGCCUAUAUCACAUGUUUAUGUUCCAUGCUCCCUAAUGAAGAUGCUAUUAAGGAGAUUGCAAAAGUCAACUGCAAGGAAGUACUAGGCAUCAUAUGUAAUCUGGAAUCUGAGGGUCAGGAUAACACAGCAUUUGUUCUUUGUACGACUUACCUUACCCAGCAGCUCCAAACUGCAAGUGUAUAUUGUUCUUGGGAGCUGACUCUCUUUUGGAGUAAACUGCAAAGAAGAAUUGACUCUUCUUUAGAUACUUUUUUGGAGUGUUGUCGGCAGUUUGGUGUCAUA